GUCAGUGUGGCAUAGUAGCUUGAGUGCUGGACUGCAGCUUUGGAGACCUGGGUUCAAUUCCCAGCUUGGCCA